UACGGAGGGUGCGAGCGUUAUCCGGAAUUACUGGGCUUAAAGGGUGCGUAGGCGGAUAUUUAAGUCUAAGGUGAAAGUUUGUUGCUUAACAAUAAGACUGCCUUGGAUACUGGGUAACUUGAAUUAAGUUGAGGUAAGCGGAAUAUGUCAUGUAGCGGUGAAAUGCUUAGAUAUGACAUAGAACACCCAUUGCGAAGGCAGCUUACUACGGAGACAUUGACACUGAGGCUCGAAAGCGUGGGGAUCAAACAGG
rnacentral:rRNA from 1 species